AAGUCGUAACAAGGUUUCCGUAGGUGAACCUGCGGAAGGAUCAUUAACACCCCCGUGAACCUUCAUUGUGCUCCCCCAUUCCGUUAGGACGCGGCAAUCCCUGGUAAAUCAUCGCCGAACAGUUUUGAUUCAGGGACCUCUGCAUGGAGUGGGCAGCAGCGCGAGGCAAGUGGCCUGGCAUUCGAAAGAAUGGCGCAGUAACGAUCGCUAGAGGCCGACACGGCCGGCGACCGGGUCACUGGGCUCACGCCCCCCUAUCACCUUUGCAUGAAAACGGGCCUGCGCUUAAUUGUGCGGCCACCAAACUCGAACAACUGUUAACAAUGGAUAUCUUGGUUCUC
rnacentral:misc_RNA from 1 species